GCCCUUCGGGGUGGAUUAGUGGCGAACGGGUGAGUAACACGUGGGCAAUCUGCCCUUCACUCUGGGACAAGCCCUGGAAACGGGGUCUAAUACCGGAUAAUACUCCUGCCUGCAUGGGUGGGGGUUAAAAGCUCCGGCGGUGAAGGAUGAGCCCGCGGCCUAUCAGCUUGUUGGUGGGGUAAUGGCCCACCAAGGCGACGACGGGUAGCCGGCCUGAGAGGGCGACCGGCCACACUGGGACUGAGACACGGCCCAGACUCCUACGGGAGGCAGCAGUGGGGAAUAUUGCACAAUGGGCGAAAGCCUGAUGCAGCGACGCCGCGUGAGGGAUGACGGCCUUCGGGUUGUAAACCUCUUUCAGCAGGGAAGAAGCGAAAGUGACGGUACCUGCAGAAGAAGCGCCGGCUAACUACGUGCCAGCAGCCGCGGUAAUACGUAGGGCGCAAGCGUUGUCCGGAAUUAUUGGGCGUAAAGAGCUCGUAGGCGGCUUGUCACGUCGGAUGUGAAAGCCCGAGGCUUAACCUCGGGUCUGCAUUCGAUACGGGCUAGCUAGAGUGUGGUAGGGGAGAUCGGAAUUCCUGGUGUAGCGGUGAAAUGCGCAGAUAUCAGGAGGAACACCGGUGGCGAAGGCGGAUCUCUGGGCCAUUACUGACGCUGAGGAGCGAAAGCGUGGGGAGCGAACA
rnacentral:rRNA from 1 species